AGAUUAAGUUAUUAAGGGCGCACGGUGGAUGCCUUGGCACUAGAAGCCGAUGAAGGACGUUACUAACGACGAUAUGCUUUGGGGAGCUGUAAGUAAGCUUUGAUCCAGAGAUUUCCGAAUGGGGAAACCCAGCAUGAGUUAUGUCAUGUUAUCGAUAUGUGAAUACAUAGCAUAUCAGAAGGCACACCCGGAGAACUGAAACAUCUUAGUACCCGGAGGAAGAGAAAGAAAAUUCGAUUCCCUUAGUAGCGGCGAGCGAAACGGGAAGAGCCCAAACCAACAAGCUUGCUUGUUGGGGUUGUAGGACACUCUAUACGGAGUUACAAAGGACGACAUUAGACGAAUCAUCUGGAAAGAUGAAUCAAAGAAGGUAAUAAUCCUGUAGUCGAAAAUGUUGUCUCUCUUGAGUGGAUCCUGAGUACGACGGAGCACGUGAAAUUCCGUCGGAAUCUGGGAGGACCAUCUCCUAAGGCUAAAUACUCUCUAGUGACCGAUAGCGAACCAGUACCGUGAGGGAAAGGUGAAAAGCACCCCGGAAGGGGAGUGAAAUAGAACCUGAAACCGUGUGCUUACAAGUAGUCAGAGCCCGUUAAUGGGUGAUGGCGUGCCUUUUGUAGAAUGAACCGGCGAGUUACGAUUUGAUGCAAGGUUAAGCAGUAAAUGUGGAGCCGUAGCGAAAGCGAGUCUGAAUAGGGCGUUUAGUAUUUGGUCGUAGACCCGAAACCAGGUGAUCUACCCUUGGUCAGGUUGAAGUUCAGGUAACACUGAAUGGAGGACCGAACCGACUUACGUUGAAAAGUGAGCGGAUGAACUGAGGGUAGCGGAGAAAUUCCAAUCGAACCUGGAGAUAGCUGGUUCUCUCCGAAAUAGCUUUAGGGCUAGCCUCAAGUGAUGAUUAUUGGAGGUAGAGCACUGUUUGGACGAGGGGCCCCUCUCGGGUUACCGAAUUCAGACAAACUCCGAAUGCCAAUUAAUUUAACUUGGGAGUCAGAACAUGGGUGAUAAGGUCCGUGUUCGAAAGGGAAACAGCCCAGACCACCAGCUAAGGUCCCAAAAUAUAUGUUAAGUGGAAAAGGAUGUGGCGUUGCCCAGACAACUAGGAUGUUGGCUUAGAAGCAGCCAUCAUUUAAAGAGUGCGUAAUAGCUCACUAGUCGAGUGACACUGCGCCGAAAAUGUACCGGGGCUAAACAUAUUACCGAAGCUGUGGAUUGUCCUUUGGACAAUGGUAGGAGAGCGUUCUAAGGGCGUUGAAGCAUGAUCGUAAGGACAUGUGGAGCGCUUAGAAGUGAGAAUGCCGGUGUGAGUAGCGAAAGACGGGUGAGAAUCCCGUCCACCGAUUGACUAAGGUUUCCAGAGGAAGGCUCGUCCGCUCUGGGUUAGUCGGGUCCUAAGCUGAGGCCGACAGGCGUAGGCGAUGGAUAACAGGUUGAUAUUCCUGUACCACCUAUAAUCGUUUUAAUCGAUGGGGGACGCAGUAGGAUAGGCGAAGCGUGCGAUUGGAUUGCACGUCUAAGCAGUAAGGCUGAGUAUUAGGCAAAUCCGGUACUCAUUAAGGCUGAGCUGUGAUGGGGAGAAGACAUUGUGUCUUCGAGUCGUUGAUUUCACACUGCCGAGAAAAGCCUCUAGAUAGAAAAUAGGUGCCCGUACCGCAAACCGACACAGGUAGUCAAGAUGAGAAUUCUAAGGUGAGCGAGCGAACUCUCGUUAAGGAACUCGGCAAAAUGACCCCGUAACUUCGGGAGAAGGGGUGCUCUUUAGGGUUAACGCCCAGAAGAGCCGCAGUGAAUAGGCCCAAGCGACUGUUUAUCAAAAACACAGGUCUCUGCUAAACCGUAAGGUGAUGUAUAGGGGCUGACGCCUGCCCGGUGCUGGAAGGUUAAGAGGAGUGGUUAGCUUCUGCGAAGCUACGAAUCGAAGCCCCAGUAAACGGCGGCCGUAACUAUAACGGUCCUAAGGUAGCGAAAUUCCUUGUCGGGUAAGUUCCGACCCGCACGAAAGGCGUAACGAUUUGGGCACUGUCUCAACGAGAGACUCGGUGAAAUCAUAGUACCUGUGAAGAUGCAGGUUACCCGCGACAGGACGGAAAGACCCCGUGGAGCUUUACUGUAGCCUGAUAUUGAAAUUCGGCACAGCUUGUACAGGAUAGGUAGGAGCCUUUGAAACGUGAGCGCUAGCUUACGUGGAGGCGCUGGUGGGAUACUACCCUAGCUGUGUUGGCUUUCUAACCCGCACCACUUAUCGUGGUGGGAGACAGUGUCAGGCGGGCAGUUUGACUGGGGCGGUCGCCUCCUAAAAGGUAACGGAGGCGCUCAAAGGUUCCCUCAGAAUGGUUGGAAAUCAUUCAUAGAGUGUAAAGGCAUAAGGGAGCUUGACUGCGAGACCUACAAGUCGAGCAGGGUCGAAAGACGGACUUAGUGAUCCGGUGGUUCCGCAUGGAAGGGCCAUCGCUCAACGGAUAAAAGCUACCCCGGGGAUAACAGGCUUAUCUCCCCCAAGAGUUCACAUCGACGGGGAGGUUUGGCACCUCGAUGUCGGCUCAUCGCAUCCUGGGGCUGUAGUCGGUCCCAAGGGUUGGGCUGUUCGCCCAUUAAAGCGGUACGCGAGCUGGGUUCAGAACGUCGUGAGACAGUUCGGUCCCUAUCCGUCGUGGGCGUAGGAAAUUUGAGAGGAGCUGUCCUUAGUACGAGAGGACCGGGAUGGACAUACCUCUGGUGUACCAGUUGUCGUGCCAACGGCAUAGCUGGGUAGCUAUGUGUGGACGGGAUAAGUGCUGAAAGCAUCUAAGCAUGAAGCCCCCCUCAAGAUGAGAUUUCCCAACUUCGGUUAUAAGAUCCCUCAAAGAUGAUGAGGUUAAUAGGUUCGAGGUGGAAGCAUGGUGACAUGUGGAGCUGACGAAUACUAAUCGAUCGAAGACUUAAUCAAAUU
rnacentral:rRNA from 1 species